AUUACUUUAUCCUAUCCUAGGUAUUCCUUAAAGAGGUGGGGCUUCAGGUGUCUCCGGAAGGUGGUGAUUGACUUACACAAUAUAAAAAACGAGUAGCAUGUUGUACAGUCAUUCACAGUGCUUUAUUAAAAAGUCUAAUAGUCUACUGAGAUGGUGUUGAAGAACAAAGUUGGUUCAACUCCUCAGGUUGUGGUUCAACAUGUAUCUUUUUAAAUGUUCAACUCAAUCCAGUGACUGUCAAUGCAUUUUUUUGGGGUAGCCAAUUGGAUUAAUAAUGAGCAAAAAAAUAUUAAAAAACACAACCAUUUCUAAUAUUUUACUGAGUUACAGUUCAUAUAAGGAAAAUCAGUCAAUUGAAAUAAAUAAAUUAGGCCCUAAUCUAUGGGUUUCAUUUGACUGGGCAGGGAGUGCAGCCGCUUGGCAGCCAGGCCCACAUGCUGGGGAAACAGGCCCAGCCAAUCAGAAUGAUUAUUUUUCCACAUAAGGGCUUUAUUUUGGACAGAAAUACACCGCUCCCCCAACACAUUACUUUUAUAUUUUUGUUAAGUGGAAUAAAAUAUAUUUUACUGUUCAAUUGGGUUCCAGAAAUUAUGUACUUUAUGUUCAAUCGAGAUUAAUUUGCCUGCAUCUUUAUGUGCACUAAUAUCAAUAUCAAAUAUCUUUGUUAUAAAAUUGAGCAAAAAAUUUAAAUGUUUUAAUUCUACCUACAGAAAGCUGAGAACCUUGUCUUUAAUUGUGACAACAGGGUAGCUGUGUUUUCUCUGCAAUUGGAUUUGAAAUGUUAUACAAUAAGAACAUUUCUCUUUCUCCUGGAGCAUUAUUCCCUCCGGUAAAGGAAAGAGAGCGGCUGCUCAAAACAGCUGCAGUCCCGAGUAAAACAGGUAAAGGGGCAAGCAGGCGGGGACUUUCAAUACAGGAAUCAUAAGGAUACCAUACUUUAUCAAACCAUGGUUUUAGCCCCCCCAUAAAAAACAUUGUCACAGGGUCGCAAAGUCUGUCUAAAUGGUCACAGUCUGGAGCCCUGUGUGUGUGUGUGUGUGUGUGUGUGUGUGUGUGUGUGUGUGUGUGUGUGUGUGUGUGUGUGUGUGUGUGUGCGCGUGUAGUGUAACCAUACAGCCUAUAUACUCUCUAGAGAAAAGUCCACUAGUUCUGUUCCCAGUGAGUCACACACACCAUCAGGAGAUCAUGGACCCAGUGACUGCUGAGGUUUGGACCCAGUGACUGCGGAGGUUUGGACCCAGUGACUGCGGAGGUUUGGACCCAGUGACUGCGGAGGUUUGGACCCAGUGACUGCGGAGGUUUGGACCCAGUGACUGCGGAGGUUUGGACCCAGUGACUGCGGAGGUUUGGACCCAGUGACGGCGGAGGUUUGGACCCAGUGACUGCGGAGGUUUGGACCCAGUGACGGCGGAGGUUUGGACCCAGUGACUGCGGAGGUUUGGACCCAGUGACUGCGGAGGUUUGGACCCAGUGACGGCGGAGGUUUGGACCCAGUGACGGCGGAGGUUUGGACCCAGUGACGGCGGAGGUUUGGACCCAGUGACGGCGGAGGUUUGGACCCAGUGACGGCUGAGGUUUGGACCCAGUGACGGCUGAGGUUUGGACCCAGUGACGGCUGAGGUUUGGACCCAGUGACGGCUGAGGUUUGGACCCAGUGACGGCUGAGGUUUGGACCCAGUGACGGCUGAGGUUUGGACCCAGUGACGGCUGAGGUUUGGACCCAGUGACGGCUGAGGUUUGGACCCAGUGACGGCUGAGGUUUGGACCCAGUGACGGCUGAGGUUUGGACCCAGUGACGGCUGAGGUUUGGACCCAGUGACGGCUGAGGUUUGGACCCAGUGACGGCUGAGGUUUGGACCCAGUGACGGCUGAGGUUUGGACCCAGUGACGGCUGAGGUUUGGACCCAGUGACUGCGGAGGUUUGGACCCAGUGACGGCUGAGGGUUAGACACAGUGACGGCUGAGGUUUGGACCCAGUGACGGCUGAGGUUUGGACCCAGUGACGGCUGAGGUUUGGACCCAGUGACGGCUGAGGUUUGGACCCAGUGACGGCUGAGGGUUAGACACAGUGACGGCUGAGGUUUAGACACAGUGACGGUGGAGGUUUAGAGGUUGCCAGAUACACCCAGAUAUCCUAUCCUAUUAUCUACAAAGGUGGACUCUAACUGUAUGGUCUGAUUGCAGGUUAAGCCCACCAUGGUUCCCAUAGCGUUUCUAAUAUCCGUUUCAGCCCCAUACAAACGAAGACACAAAUACUGAGACCCCCCCCACAAACCAAAAAUCAUCUCCUAAAACAUCUGUUUCUUAAACCCUCGAAGGAAUUGGUCACAAUUAUACGGGCACACAAAACCAACACGCACACAGUUCUAAUCCAGCCAUGUGCUUACCGACCUGUCGAGAUGGAAGGGCUAUGAAGCCAGUCAACGGCCCAAACAGGCCACGACGUGUGUGGAAGCUG